rnacentral:rRNA from 1 species
AUUGAACGCUGGCGGCAUGCUUUACACAUGCAAGUCGAACGGCAGCGCGGGCUUCGGCCUGGCGGCGAGUGGCGAACGGGUGAGUAAUACAUAGGAACGUGACCAGUAGUGGGGGAUAGCACGGCGAAAGGCGGAUUAAUACAGCAUACGACAAGAGGGUGAAAGCGGGGGAUCUUCGGACCUCGCGCGAUUGGAGCGGACGACGGCAGAUUAGCUAGUUGGUGGGGUAAAGGCCUACCAAGGCGACGAUCUGUAGCUGGUCUGAGAGGACGACCAGCCACACUGGGACUGAGACACGGCCCAGACUCCUACGGGAGGCAGCAGUGGGGAAUUUUGGGCAAUGGGCGAAAGCCUGAUGCAGCAAUGCCGCGUGUGUGAUGAAGGCCUUCGGGUUGUAAAGCACUUUUAGUGGGGACGAAAAGGACUGUGCCAAUACCACGGUUCCAUGACGGUACCCGAAGAAUAAGCACCGGCUAACUACGUG